rnacentral:rRNA from 1 species
UGCAGUCGAGCGGUAGAGAGAAGCUUGCUUCUCUUGAGAGCGGCGGACGGGUGAGUAAUGCCUAGGAAUCUGCCUGGUAGUGGGGGAUAACGUUCGGAAACGGACGCUAAUACCGCAUACGUCCUACGGGAGAAAGCAGGGGACCUUCGGGCCUUGCGCUAUCAGAUGAGCCUAGGUCGGAUUAGCUAGUUGGUGGGGUAAUGGCUCACCAAGGCGACGAUCCGUAACUGGUCUGAGAGGAUGAUCAGUCACACUGGAACUGAGACACGGUCCAGACUCCUACGGGAGGCAGCAGUGGGGAAUAUUGGACAAUGGGCGAAAGCCUGAUCCAGCCAUGCCGCGUGUGUGAAGAAGGUCUUCGGAUUG